CGCAAAUCGAAGGCCGCCCACACAAACCAACACCAUCAUCGUGUAGGUGGAAGUUUCCCCUAUCCGAUGAUGGUGCUGGUUUGCGUGGGUGGCCUUCGCUUUGUGAGGAAUGGGCUUUGGAACGGUUUGUUUGCAAAUGCUGAUGGGCCCUUUUCUAUUGUUGAUCCAGAAGUUUGGUUUUUCGACGAAUAAAUUAGCCCGCGGGAAAGUGCCGAUCAAGGUGACUACAUAUAGGUGUUCUAAUGUGUCAAAUUCACGAUUCAGCUAUGUUGGAUUUUUGUAUGGAACAGCUACCGAGUUUGUUUCUGUGCCAUAAAAAGGGAGCUACCGAGUUUGUUUACAAUUUGCUCUAAAACCGCACUUUUCCCCCCGCGACCUCCACGCUAAUAUAGUGACAAAGCUGUAUCACCAUUUAUAUACCCACCAUGGUGCCGAUAAUGUGUCCGUCGCGAGUUUCAAUGUUUUUCUGGAAAGUGUACCAGUCCCAAGCCGACUCCCGGUAGGGAGUCUGAAGCUGGAUCCCGGCGGGAAGUUUGCAGCCGGAUCUCUUUUGCAGUUCGUCAAUAAGGUAGAAGACUGGCAGCCCAAAACUUUCCGCAUUUUUGGAUCAUCUGUAGAACAGGCAGAGAUCUGGAGGCGCAGCGAUCACAUUGUCAUGAUUGUCUGGUAGUUCACUCAAAAAUGCUAUAACAAUCGCCAAGCUUGCUGUAAUGUCACCAAGUGCCUCGUCACCCACGAAUAGGCGCCUAUGUCAGUGGUCUAACAACUCUUAGCGCGCUAAUGGCAUAGUUCCCCUGCCGCAUAGAGAGUUGCCACAAUGAUAUUAGGUUAGCUAAGGUCAGUUAACUGACUGGUGGGAAACGGGAGCUUAAGCAAUGGCUAUUCUUUAUGCAUUUAAGAGAUAGUCUACCAGAAUGGAUGACUUUUUUUUGUACAAUUUUAUGUUUUCUGAUGGUUUCGGUUGUGCAAAACAUGAGAAUUAACUUUUUCAAUACUUUCAAUUGUACAAAGCAUUAGAGCUAGAAACAAGAUCUUGUAAACACUACACACCUUAACUGGUAGUUUGCUAAAAAAAAAUGCUGCAACAAUCGUCAAGCUCGCUGUAAUGUCACCAAGUGCCUCGUCACCUACAAAUUGGCGCCUAUGUCAGUGGUCUAACAACUCUUAGCGCGCUAAUGGCAUAGUUCCCCUGCCGCAUAGAGAGUUGCCGCAAUGAUAUUAGGUUAGCUAAGGUCAGUUAACUGACUGGUGGGAAACGGGAGCUUCAGCAUUGACAGUUAUGUACGCAUUUUUAUUAUGUUAUCUAACAACAAUGGUGUGUAGUGUUUACACGAUCAUGUUUCUAAUUCUAAUGUGUUGUAAAUAUAAUUGAAAGCA